UACAGCAAGAGGAAAAACGUCGCCUUUGGUGCCGAAGGCCAUGAAGACAGCGUUAGGCUUAUUCCUCAGUUCCAUUGUUCCGCCAACUACCACCAGCUCACCACUGGGAGCACUGCUCUCGGGUGUUUAAAAAAAACAGAAUCACCUCCCCCAGAACAAACAGGCUUACAAGAAGCCAGUUGCAGCAACACUAAAUGCACGUUUUAGGUUAUCAAAUGAGAUUUCAGCAUCUGGAAGAACUUCUGGAUUCUUGAAAUUAAUAAAAAAAAAUCAAUAUAAAGUCCGCAAA